GACGAACGCUGGCGGCGUGCCUAAUACAUGCAAGUCGAACGCAGUUGCGAACGGGUGAGUAACGCGUAGGUAACUGCCUCAUAGCGGGGGAUAACUAUUGGAAACGAUAGCUAAUACCGCAUACUAUGAGAUGGACCUGCGUUGUAUUAGCUAGUUGGUACGGUAAAGGCUCACCAAGGCGACGAUACAUAGCCGACCUGAGAGGGUGAUAGGCCACACUUGGAACGAGACACGGCCCAGAACCCCACGGGAGGCAGCAGUAGGGAAUCUUCGGAAAUGGACGGAAGUCUGACCGAGCAACGCCCCGGGAGUGAAGAAGGGUUUUCGAUCGUAAAGCUCUGGUGGUAGAGAAGCGGUACCUACCCAGAAAGCGACGGCUAACUACGUGCCAGCAGCCGCGGUAAUUC
rnacentral:rRNA from 1 species